rnacentral:rRNA from 1 species
GCCAGCCGCCGCGGGAACACCAGCGGCCCGAGUGGUGAUCGUGAUUAUGGGUCUAAAGGGUCCGUAGCCGGUUUGGUCAGUCCUCCGGGAAAUCUGAUAGCUCAACUAUUAGGCUUUCGGGGGAUACUGCCAGACUUGGAACCGGGAGAGGUAAGAGGUACUACAGGGGGUAGGAGUGAAAUCUUGUAAUCCCUGUGGGACCACCUGUGGCGAAGGCGUCUUACCAGAACGGGUUCGACGGUGAGGGACGAAAGCUGGGGGCACGAACCGGAUUAGAUACCCGGGUAGUCCCAGCCGUAAACGAUGCUCGCUAGGUGUCAGGCAUGGCGCGACCGUGUCUGGUGCCGCAGGGAAGCCGUGAAGCGAGCCACCUGGGAAGUACGGCCGCAAGGCUGAAACUUAAAGGAAUUGGCGGGGGAGCACAACAACGGGUGGAAGCCUGCGGUUUAAUUGGACUCAACGCCGGACGACUCACCGGGGGCGACAGCAAUAUGUAGGCCAAGCUGAAGACUUUGCCUGAAUCGCUGAGGGGAGGUGCAUGG